rnacentral:rRNA from 1 species
AACGAACGCUGGCGGCAGGCCUAACACAUGCAAGUCGAGCGGACCUUUCGGGGUCAGCGGCGGACGGGUGAGUAACGCGUGGGAAUAUGCCCUUCUCUACGGAAUAGUCCUGGGAAACUGGGGGUAAUACCGUAUACGCCCUUUGGGGGAAAGAUUUAUCGGGGAAGGAUUAGCCCGCGUUGGAUUAGGUAGUUGGUGGGGUAAUGGCCUACCAAGCCGACGAUCCAUAGCUGGUUUGAGAGGAUGAUCAGCCACACUGGGACUGAGACACGGCCCAGACUCCUACGGGAGGCAGCAGUGGGGAAUCUUAGACAAUGGGGGCAACCCUGAUCUAGCCAUGCCGCGUGAGUGACGAAGGCCUUAGGGUUGUAAAGCUCUUUCAGCUGGGAAGAUAAUGACGGUACCAGCAGAAGAAGCCCCGGCUAACUCCGUG